GGACGAACGCUGGCGGCGUGCCUAAUACAUGCAAGUCGAACGAGCUCUCCUAAAUUGAUUUUAUGCUUGCAUAAAUGAUUUUUAGAUUCGGAGCGAGUGGCGAACUGGUGAGUAACACGUGGGUAACCUGCCCCGAAGCGGGGGAUAACAUUUGGAAACAAAUGCUAAUACCGCAUAAUUAGUUGGAACCGCAUGGUUCCAACUUGAAAGAUGGCUCUGCUAUCACUUUGGGAUGGACCCGCGCCGUAUUAGUUAGUUGGUGAGAUAAAAGCCCACCAAGACGAUGAUACGUAGCCGACCUGAGAGGGUAAUCGGCCACAUUGGGACUGAGACACGGCCCAGACUCCUACGGGAGGCAGCAGUAGGGAAUCUUCCACAAUGGACGAAAGUCUGAUGGAGCAACGCCGCGUGAGUGAUGAAGGUUUUCGGAUCGUAAAACUCUGUUGUUAAAGAAGAACAAGUGUUAGAGUAACUGUUAACACUUUGACGGUAUUUAACCAGAAAGCCACGGCUAACUACGUGCCAGCAGCCGCGGUAAUACGUAGGUGGCAAGCGUUGUCCGGAUUUAUUGGGCGUAAAGCGAGCGCAGGCGGUUUUGUAAGUCUGCUGUGAAAGCCCUCAGCUCAACUGAGGAAGUGCAGUGGAAACUACAAAACUUGAGUACAGAAGAGGAAAGUGGAACUCCAUGUGUAGCGGUGAAAUGCGUAGAUAUAUGGAAGAACACCAGUGGCGAAGGGCGGCUUUCUGGUCUGUUACUGACGCUGAGGCUCGAAAGCAUGGGUAGCGAACAGGAUUAGAUACCCUGGUAGUCCAUGCCGUAAACGAUGAAUACUAGGUGUUGGAGGGUUUCCGCCCUUCAGUGCCGCAGCUAACGCAUUAAGUAUUCCGCCUGGGGAGUACGACCGCAAGGUUGAAACUCAAAGGAAUUGACGGGGGCCCGCACAAGUGGUGGAGCAUGUGGUUUAAUUCGAUGCUACGCGAAGAACCUUACCAGCUCUUGACAUCUUCUGCCAACCCAAGAGAUUGGGCGUUCCCUUCGGGGACAGAAUGACAGGUGGUGCAUGGUUGUCGUCAGCUCGUGUCGUGAGAUGUUGGGUUAAGUCCCGCAACGAGCGCAACCCUUAUUAUUAGUUGCCAGCAUUUAGUUGGGCACUCUAGUGAGACUGCCGGUGAUAAACCGGAGGAAGGUGGGGACGACGUCAAAUCAUCAUGCCCCUUAUGAGCUGGGCUACACACGUGCUACAAUGGAUGGUACAACGAGUCGCGAAACCGCGAGGUCAAGCUAAUCUCUUAAAGCCAUUCUCAGUUCGGAUUGCAGGCUGCAACUCGCCUGCAUGAAGUUGGAAUCACUAGUAAUCGUGGAUCAGCAUGCCACGGUGAAUACGUUCCCGGGCCUUGUACACACCG
rnacentral:rRNA from 1 species